rnacentral:rRNA from 1 species
GACGAACGCUGGCGGCGUGCUUAACACAUGCAAGUCGAACGGAAAGGCCUGCUUUCCCUUGUGGAUUGCGGGUACUCGAGUGGCGAACGGGUGAGUAACACGUGAGUGAUCUGCCCCCAACUUGGGUAUAAGCCUGGGAAACUGGGUCUAAUUCCCGAUAGGACUGCAGGGUGGUGCCUGUGGUGGAAAACGAUUUUCUAGUGGUUGGGGAUGAGCUCGCGGCCUAUCAGCUUGUUGGUGGGGUAAUGGCCUACCAAGGCGGCGACGGGUAGCCGGCCUGAGAGGGUGGACGGAACCAUUGGGACUGAGAUACGGCCCAGAGUCCAACGAGAGGCAGGAGUCGGGAAUAUAGGACAAGGAGCAGAAGCCUGAAGCAGCGAGGCAGCGUGGGGAUUGACGGAAUUGGGGGAGUAAACUCCUUUCGACAGAGAGGAAGCCACGUGGAUGGAAGGGUGGUGACGGUAGUGGGAGAAGAAGCAGCGGCUAACUACGUG